rnacentral:rRNA from 1 species
AAUUCGAUGAUACGCGAAGAACCUUACCGGGGUUUGACAUGCAGGUGAUCGCCGUUGAAAGACGGUUUCCUCUUCGGAGGCACCUGCACAGGUGCUGCAUGGCUGUCGUCAGCUCGUGUCGUGAGAUGUUGGGUUAAGUCCCGCAACGAGCGCAACCCUUAUCAUUAGUUGCUACGCAAGGGCACUCUAAUGAGACUGCCGGUGACAAACCGGAGGAAGGUGGGGAUGACGUCAAGUCCUCAUGGCCCUUAUGGGUGGGGCUUCACACGUCAUACAAUGGUCGGUACAGAGGGUUGCCAACCCGCGAGGGGGAGCUAAUCCCACAAAGCCGAUCGUAGUCCGGAUCGCAGUCUGCAACUCGACUGCGUGAAGUCGGAAUCGCUAGUAAUCGUGGAUCAGCGUGUCACGGUGAAUACGUUCCCGGGUCUU